UGCGGAUGAGAUUCAUAAAUUAUUAAAUUUCAAUUCUUUAGUUACUCAUCGAUCAGGUCAUUAAUGAUCUUCUAGUGAAGAAAUGAGAAUUACUCAUUGUUGAUGGCGUUCAAAAAUUUGUUUGGGAUGCCCAUACAAGUUCAACUUUUGUUGCUGCAAUCUUUUGGAUAGUUCUGUUGAUAGGUCUUGGUAGCAUUGCAACAUGUAUAUCCAUUGUACAGCGACUGUUCCAUUUGACAACCCAAGAUCCAGUUUACCUUGUUUUAUUAAAAAGCGAAGACAGGCAAGUCUAACACUAUAUUUGUCUUUCACAUUUGAACUGUAGGGUAAUUUUGUGUUAAAUUUUUUGAGAACAGAAUUGGUUGUUAUUAUGAUUGAUAAGAGAUUUGAAUAAUUUACAAUUUUUUUUGGGGAUUUAGAUUGGUUUGGGUUUUGAUAUGGUUUCUUAGUUGUAUUAGUUUUCUUAUUUUUAUGAAUUUUUUUAUUCAAGCUAGUUUAUUGUUCAUUGUAGGGCUGAAAGCAGGUAUGAGGGAACAUUGUUGUGAGACAAUAUGAACUCGGGUUGAUGGCAGAGGAAGUUCAAGAGCAAUUUGGUUUGUUUUCAAAAAUGAAAUCUCCAUUCUAACCAUUAAGACUGCAUAUAGUAGAAAUGAAAACUUUAAAGGGGAAGCAGAGUUGAAAUUAUCCUAGGAAAUUGGGACCAUGAAAAUGUGUUUUUCUUUUCCACCCUUAGAAAAAUUUCACUUGUAUUGAUGAAGUUCUAGUUCAUUAACCUUGUUUGUUGGCAAAUCCAGUACCAAACAACUACUUUAGCCAACUCUUUUACUCGUUCCCAAAAAAAAAAAAAAAAAAAAAGGAAUAUGUAUUACAUUUUCUUUUGCAUGCCUUUUUCCUUGGUUUACUGCAAAUGAAGACUAGAGUGAGUAUAUUAAAAAAAAGUCAUCAAAAAAUGCUUUUAAAGCAUCCCAGUUUUGACGCAAGAAAACAAUAAGGUAGAUGCUGUCAUCUUAACUUGGGAAUUGGGAUAGGCUGUGAGCCUGGGAUAUUAUUCAUAUCAAUAAUUGGUUGGUAUUUACAAUUUUUUUUUUUUUCCCUUGCUAUGGUCGCUCUCAAUGGCGGACUCAGAAAAU